rnacentral:rRNA from 1 species
AUUGAACGCUGGCGGCAUGCCUUACACAUGCAAGUCGAACGGCAGCACGGGAGCAAUCCUGGUGGCGAGUGGCGAACGGGUGAGUAAUACAUCGGAACGUGUCCUGGAGUGGGGGAUAGCCCGGCGAAAGCCGGAUUAAUACCGCAUACGCUCUGCGGAGGAAAGCGGGGGAUCCUUCGGGACCUCGUGCUAGAGGGGCGGCCGAUGGCAGAUUAGCUAGUUGGUGGGGUAAAGGCCUACCAA